UACGGAGGAGGCAAGCGUUAUCCGGAAUUAUUGGGCGUAAAGCGUCCGUAGGUGGCUCUCUCAAGUCUGCGGUCAAAGCCCAGGGCUCAACCCUGGAAUGGCCUUCGAUACUGGAGAUCUUGAGACCGGAAGAGGUAAGUGGAACUGCGAGUGUAGAGGUGAAAUUCGUAGAUAUUCGCAAGAACACCAGUGGCGAAGGCGGCUUACUGGUCCGGUUCUGACGCUGAGGCGCGAAAGCGUGGGGAGCAAACAGG
rnacentral:rRNA from 1 species